AAAGAUUAAGCCAUGCAUGUCUCAGUUCACACCUCAAUAUGGUAAAACCGCGAAUGGCUCAUUAAAUCAGCUAUAGUUCCUUAGAUCUUAUAUCCAUACUUGGAUAACUGUGGUAAUUCUAGAGCUAAUACAUGCCUAAAAGCCCUGACUUAACGGAAAGGGUGGCUUUAUUAGAACAAAACCUACCGGCUUCGGCUGUUGGUUUGGUGACUCUGGAUAACUUUUCUGAUCGCACGGCCAAGCGCCAGCGACGUAUCUUUCAAAUGUCUGCCCUAUCAAGUAUCGACGGUAAGUUAUAAGCCUACCGUGCUGAUGACGGGUAACGGGGAAUCAGGGUUCGAUUCCGGAGAGGGAGCCUUAGAAAUGGCUACCACAUCUAAGGAAGGCAGCAGGCGCGCAAAUUACCCACUCUCAGCUAGAGGAGGUAGUGACGAAAAAUAACGAUGCGGGACUCAUUUGAGGCUCCGCAAUUGGAAUGAGAACAAUUUAAAUCCUUUAACGAGGAACAAUUGGAGGGCAAGUCUGGUGCCAGCAGCCGCGGUAACUCCAGCUCCAAUAGCGUAUAUUAAAGUUGCUGCAGUUAAAAAGCUCGUAGUUGGAUCUCAGGUACGGAAUUAGUGGUUGGUUUUAAACUGAACCAUUAAUUUCCGCCUAAUCAGUCGAUUGUUAUCUCAUGUGCUCUUAAUCGAGUGCUUGAGGUACUCGGCACGUUUACUUUGAAAAAAUAAGAGUGCUCAAAGCAGGCCUUGUGCUUGAAUUGUGUUGCAUGGAAUAAUGGAAUAGGACUUCGGUUCUAUUUUGUUGGUUUUCGGAAUCGAAGUAAUGAUUAAAAGGGACAUACGGGGGCAUCUGUAUGGUGGUGUUAGAGGUGAAAUUCGAUGAUCACCGCCAGACAAUCAACUGCGAAAGCAUGCCAAGGAGU
rnacentral:rRNA from 1 species